rnacentral:tRNA from 1 species
GCCCGUUUAGCUCAUUGGUAGAGCGUUUGCCUAGUAAGCAAAAGGUAACAGGUUCGAUCCCUGUAACGGGCA